CGAGCAGAUUAGCGGAGGACCACACGGCAGGCAAGAAAGCUGGAACUCGUGAGCAGGGAAUUGUCCACGGUCUCAAUUUGCUCUACGAGUGUGGUGAAAGGGAAAACGCUCAAACUCACAGCUGGAGGAAGAUUUCUGGGAGAGUGGUUCAGGCGAGGAUUGGGUGAGGAUCCAGAGCUUGCAAUGACGCUGGCAGAACCGACGUCUGCAGAGGAGGUGAGUUGGCGAGGUGAAGCUGACGAGAAGGGGGAUCUUGACAGAGCAGGAACAGGCUGAGUGCCACCCAGCCGCAGGCAGACGAAUAGCAGGAAACAGGCAGGCAGAGCUCGUAGUCAGGGACAGAAGGCUAAGGCGUGAAGCAAAGGUCAGGGGCAGAUCAGGUCGAUACUAGGUAAGCUGUCAGGGAAUGAAUGCUGGAGAGUUAAGCAUGAGAGCGACGACAAUCUGGCAAAGAGUGAGGGGAAAGAAGCUGCAUAUAUACUGGCCUGAUUGGAGAUGAUGAGCAGGUGAGAGCAGCAGGUGGAUGCAGUUAGCUGAUGAGGGGUGUGGCUGAGCAGCAGAGCAGGAGAGGCACAGGGCAGACUGUUACACAUUAUCAAUAAACUUAAAUAUCUCAAACUCUCAGUCACUGAAUUAAAGUUAUUUUAACUGUUAAUUUGAUUUAAAUUAGGAUUUUCUCACCACUGGCGUCUCUGAGGUCUCUUGCAGUGAUGCCACCAAACACUCUCUCUGCAACAAAGAGUGACACACCUGUCCCUGAGCCUCUUUAAAACCUCUGCCUAGCAUUCCCCACUCUACCUGCACUUGCUGUACUUUACCUGCCCUGCUGAGGCUCUUCAGUGGAAGGGACAAACCUGAAAAACAUAAAUCUAAACAGUCACAUAAAAAAUGUCAAAAGACUGUCCUGACAAAGACUAUGCUGAGAUGGUGCCCAAAGAGGAGUUGCACCAUGGUGACGGGAAAGUAUGGUACAUACCACACCACAGAGUCUACCAUCCCACUAAAAGAAAGAUCAGAGUUGUGUUUGAUUGUGGAGCAAGAUACCAAGGAACAUCACUCAAUUCUCAGCUGCUAAAGGGCCCCGAUCUUACCAGUUCUCUGAUUGGAGUGGUUACUCGGAUUAGGAAGGAACCAGUUGUGAUCAUGGCUGACAUAGAAGCCAUGUUCUGCCAUGUUCCACCAGGUCCAAGUCCCUCCUGAUGACAGAGACCUUCUCAGGUUCCUCUAGUGGCCUAAGGGUAAUAUGCAUCAGCCACCCAAGUAUUGGAUAAAGGUGCACUUGUUUGGGGCUACAUCAUCUCCCAGUUGUGUUCCUAAAGACUUUAAAAACAGGCACUGGACUGUGUAGAGUUGAGAAGAUGUUUCGCCUCUUAUCCAAGAAGCUUCUUCAGUUCUAAUUAUUGCUAGUGUGAGGAGCAGAUAUUUAUCCUACUGGAGAAAGGGACAGACAACAACUGGGAGGAGUUUGGAAUGAAUGGGUCAGAGAGACCCAUCUCCGGGUGUUCCCCCCUGAGGGUCGUUAACCUGAAAGGGUCGUUAACCUGAAAGGGUCGUUAACGACCCCUGUCAUGUGACCACAUGAAUCAUGCCAUCUGAGUCAUGUGGUCUCAGGUGUGAAUGUUUGUGGAGCUUCCUGGGGAGAGAGCUGAGAACUGCAUUGUAAGUGCCAGAGAGGUUGCGCCUGAGUCCACCCCCUCUGUUCAGAGAAGUCUUCUCAACUCUACACAGUCCAGUUGCCUGUUUUUUAAGUCAGGCCGUUCAUUAACUCCAGGCAACUGCAAAAUGCAUAAAAGCAUUUCCAAUAAGAAUAGAGACAUGCUUCAUAUUCAUUCAUUCCUGAGGAACUUGAACUUUCCAAUCAAAUAAAAUCAUUUCAUUGGUAUGCUUGCUAUGCCAACAGAAGGGUGCCAAAAAAUAUGGCAGUAUAGGUUGGUUAUUUGGAAAACCAUUAGAGAUAGAGUUCUAUAAUUGUGUUUCUUGGAUCACUUCACGUUAGGCUCAGUGGAGAUUCUCUGUAAGUCUGUGAUGCAAUGUGUGGCAGGCAGGCCGACCUGAGAGUCCAUUAUCACGGAGAGAGUCAUGACUGGUCUUUUGUUGGUGCUGGACAGACCAGCAGACUGCUUGUGGAGUGUAUGACUGCAGUUCAAAGUGUGAAUGACAAAGAGGAAAGUGAGUGAUGGAGGGGGGAGAGAGGAGCUGAAGAGGAUGAUUGAAAGCUCAACCUGAGAGUAAAGAACUAUGUCACAGUUAUAGUACUUGAGCCAAGAACCAAAAUUUCACAUAUCGGUACCACCUGGGUGGGCAAAUUCUAGUUGUGAUUUUUUUAUUGCUAUACAUCCCUACAAUAAGUUUUUAUAUGAUAGACCUUGGUAACUGGUAGCUUUAUUGUAGUUAUCACUCAUUGAAGUAAUAGAGUGCAGCUGUUCAAGAACGAAAAAUCGCCUUCCUUCAAAAUUAGCUUUCUUUCAUUUUAACCUCUCAUUUAGGUGUGUUUGAACUAUUGGCUAGCCAUAGAGACUUGUAAUAACCCCCUAAGUAGUAUUUCAAGCAAUUUUUUUAAUACAGGUGUGUAUAUAUAAGCUUCAAUUAGCCAAUUGUCAGGUCUAAAUCAAGGUCUAAAUUAAGGAUAUUUUUUGACUUAGAAGUAGAAGUAAAGUAAAUGCAGACUAAUAGCAUUAUAAUAAAAUAACCUUAAUAUGACACUGACAUAUUUUAAAUGCAGGCACUCAAUAUACAAUCAUCCUGGCUGGUGCAGGGCAAGAAGACAUUAGCAACAAAAUAAGAUCUACUGAUGUAUACACUCUAUACAAUCAUCUGAGAAAAACUCCAUUCCUCCACCAAGAACUUGAUGAGACUGGCUUUGUCGGCAGGGCUGCAGAGAAGUUUCCUCCACUGCUGAAUAUAUUGGCCAGAAACAAUGUUUCUGAACUGGAUCCCCAUGUCUGCACCUCUGUUUAGUCUUUCUGAAUUUUUGAUUGACAUGUCUUUAAAUUUAAACUUUAUUUCACUGAAAGCUGUUAAUUUACCAAAAGAUGUAAAGGCGGAUGAAGGUAGUGACAAUGGUUAAAAAAAGAACCAGGGUUAAGUAACGACAUCCAGGGUAAUAAAUCAAACGGAAAAGUUCAUUCUUUGAGGUUAAACAACCAACUUAAUACAAGCACUAGGCGGAGAAAAACACCAAUACAAUAAAAAUGACAGGCUAAGGUAAUGAAGGAAACAGCAAAUGCACUGCAGGCUCCACUGCCACCAUAGGCCUGCUCAGUCCAGCCACUACUGAACCACACCAUGAGUCACACAUUCUUCAACCAUUUCCACACAGGAGCGAUGACUGGAGGGAAUGUAAAGAGAGACCACAUUUACAUAUAGUACUUGAGCCAAGAACCAAAAUUUCACAUAUCGGUACCACCUGGGUGGGCAAAUUCUAGUUGUGAUUUUUUUAUUGCUAUACAUCCCUACAAUAAGUUUUUAUAUGAUAGACCUUGGUAACUGGUAGCUUUAUUGUAGUUAUCACUCAUUAUAAUCAUAAUACAGGUGUGUAUAUACACUCACCGGCCACUUUAUUAGGUACACCAUGCUAGUAACGGGUUGGACCCCCUUUUGCCUUCAGAACUGCCUCAAUUCUUCGUGGCAUAGAUUCAACAAGGUGCUGGAAGCAUUCCUCAGAGAGCUUGGUCCAUAUUGACAUGAUGGCAUCACACAGUUGCCGCAGAUUUGUCGGCUGCACAUCCAUGAUGCGAAUCUCCCGUUCCACCACAUCCCAAAGAUGCUCUAUUGGAUUGAGAUCUGGUGACUGUGGAGGCCAUUUGAGUACAGUGAACUCAUUGUCAUGUUCAAGAAACCAGUCUGAGAUGAUUCCAGCUUUAUGACAUGGCGCAUUAUCCUGCUGAAAGUAGCCAUCAGAAGUUGGGUACAUUGUGAUCAUAAAGGGAUGGACAUGGUCAGCAACAAUACUCAGGUAGGCUGUGGCGUUGCAACGAUGCUCAAUUGGUACCAAGGGGCCCAAAGAGUGCCAAGAAAAUAUUCCCCACACCAUGACACCACCACCACCAGCCUGAACCGUUGAUACAAGGCAGGAUGGAUCCAUGCUUUCAUGUUGUUGACGCCAAAUUCUGACCCUACCAUCCGAAUGUCGCAGCAGAAAUCGAGACUCAUCAGACCAGGCAACGUUUUUCCAAUCUUCUAUUGUCCAAUUUCGAUGAGCUUGUGCAAAUUGUAGCCUCAGUUUCCUGUUCUUAGCUGAAAGGAGUGGCACCCGGUGUGGUCUUCUGCUGCUGUAGCCCAUCUGCCUCAAAGUUAGACGUACUGUGCAUUCAGAGAUGCUCUUCUGCCUACCUUGGUUAUAACGGGUGGUUAUUUGAGUCACUAGCCACGUUUACAUGCAGACUUUUUUCUCAUUCGGAUUAUAAUCAUUCCGAUUGAAGCUCCCAGGCGAACUGUUUACAUGGAAGUGAUCUAUUCUGAUCUGGUGUUUACAUGUGCCACGGCAUUCAAUCGGAACAGCUAUUUACAGACACGUGAUACCUUCAAACAUCACGUGAUUGAUUGAUCACGUGAUCUCCGACGCAGACCAGUGCAUCGCGCUCUGCUUGGAAGCCGCCAUCAUGUUUCCAUGUGAGUCAUACGUCACUGCUUGUUCACAUCAGGACAGAGCAUGCGCAGACAGAACCCAGCCUGACAACUUUCCGAUUCACCGUUUACAUGACAGGAUUUUGCUUUUAAUUGGAAUGGGAAAAGGAAAAUUCUACCCCUGUGAAUCGGAAUGAAAUUCCAUUCGGAAUGGGCCUGUUUAUUCUGAAUGAGGUGUUUAUAUGGAGCAUUUUCAUUCCGAUUGGGCUUCUAAUCCGAUUAUAUUCGGAAUAUUUGGCUCCAUGUAAACGUAGCUACUGUUGCCUUUCUAUCAGCUCGAACCAGUCUGGCCAUUCUCCUCUGACCUCUGGCAUCAACAAGGCAUUUCCGCCCACAGAACUGCCGCUCACUGGAUAUUUUUUCUUUUUCGGACCAUUCUCUGUAAACCCUAGAGAUGGUUGUGCGUGAAAAUCCCAGUAGAUCAGCAGUUUCUGAAAUACUCAGACCAGCCCUUCUGGCACCAACAACCAUGCCACGUUCAAAGUCACUCAUAUCACCUUUCUUCCCCAUACUGAUGCUCGGUUUGAACUGCAGGAGAUUGUCUUGACCAUGUCUACAUGCCUAAAUGCACUAAGUUGCCGCCAUGUGAUUGGCUGAUUAGAAAUUAAGUGUUAACGAGCAGUUGGACAGGUGUACCUAAUAAAGUGGCCGGUGAGUGUAUAAUGAGUGCCUGCAUUUAAAAUAUGUCAGUAUCAUAUUAAGGUUGUUUUAUUAUAAUGCUAUUAGUCUGCAUUUACUUUACUUCUACUUCUAAGUCAAAAAAUAAACUUAAUUUAGACCUUGAUUUAGACUUGACAAUUGGCUAAUUGAAGCUUAUAUAUACACACCUGUAUUAAAAAAAAUGCUUGAAAUACUACUUAGGGGGUUAUUACAAGUCUCUAUGGCUAGCCAAUAGUUCAAACACACCUAAAUGAGAGGUUAAAAUGAAAGAAAGCUAAUUUUGAAGGAAGGCGAUUUUUCGUUUUUGAACAGCUGCACUCUAUUACUUUAAUGAGUGAUAACUACAAUAAAGCUACCAGUUACCAAGGUCUAUCAUAUAAAAACUUAUUGUAGGGAUGUAUAGCAAUAAAAAAAUCACAACUAGAAUUUGCCCAUCCAGGUGGUACCAAUAUGUGAAAUUUUGGUUCUUGGCUCAAGUGCUAUGAUACCUGAAAGAACUGCUCCACCAUCAAAUUGGGCCACUCCCACUUCAUCAACUCAUUUAAUUAGACACAGGUUUGAUUCAUUUAUAGAAAAGAGCAGUGUGACCCAAAAAGAGUAUGACUUUUAAUGUGCUUUUGACUUUCUGUGUUGCUUUUGGAGUUAACAAAAAUUCGCCUAUUGAGGAAAAUAACAAAAUGAGAAAAAAUAUAAAAAACUACCCCUAUGAAAAGUCUAUCAUAUUUUAAUUUACUUAUAUUGACCCUAAAAACAAUUUAGUAUAUGUAAGGUUUUGCCCACUCAAGUGGUACCGACAUCUGUUCCGGCUCAAGGACUAUUAAUGGUUCUCACAUACGCACGCACGCACGCACGCACGCACGCACGCACACACACACACACAAACAAACAAAAUACUUUAUCACUAAUAGUGCUCCUUACACUAUUUUUGAUCUAUUAUUCCUUUAACAGGUUAAUUAAAUGUAAUUAUAUUAAGAAAGGAACUCAAUUUUGUUAAAAGGCCCCUUUUUAACAUCAACCUUUGUCAUUUUGGGCUCUUAAUUUCUACUUUCUGCACACACACUUUGAGACAGAGCUGACUGGCAUGGGGGUUGGGGCUGUGUGUGUGUGUGUGUGUGUGUGUGUGUGUGUGUGUGCAGAGCGUUUUAGUGCAUGGGGGGAAGGGGUGAGUGUAGGUUGUCCUGGCAUGCUGCCAGUCCCUUGGUUUCUUGAUACCACUGUGUGUGUGUCUGUUUGUGUCUAUUUCUCUGUGUGCGUGUGCGUUUUAGUGCCCAAUGGGGGUCUGCCAGCAUGACAGGCGUCACCAAGGCAACAACAGAGCAGGUUCCAGAUGCAAUGCAUCAUAUUUCUACAGAAAGACACACACACACACACACACACACAAAAUGAGAAAAAAACCUUUGGUUAGUCAUGCUGAUAAAUUUGAUUAUGAUGGACUGGGUCUCAUUUAAAUAUUCAUUUUCCCUGAAAUUCUCUUUCACACUCUGAUAACUUAUUGGCUGCCUCGAUCAAGGAUUACAAUUUGCCAAAAUUUGAAUUAGCUUGAAAAUUGGUUGUUUCCUUUAUUCUUUCAUAUGUAUUUUUCACUGUUAUAAAGCUGAUCUUUGAUCCUUGAAGUGAUUUGUAUUUGAUUGACUGAGACUGAUAGGUCCUGUCUCUUAUCUGGAGGGAAUCAGUGCAGUGCCUGAGAACACAUCACCGGAUGGUUUCAUGCACCCAUAAACGCCGGCGGCGUCUACUGAGGAUGUACAGAUAUGCGGCAGCACAGAUGAACUGAAAACUGAGCUAGUGACGUUCUCAUGGAUGACGUCACCGGCGACCAGCCGCGACCUGCGACUGCAGCUUUGGACCCGUUGUGAACACACCAGAGCACCACGCGACGCGACAUGACCGACCAACGCGACGCGACGCGACGUGACGUGACGUGACGUGACGUGACGUGACGUGACGUGACGCGACGCGACCUGGUCGCGUUUGGUCUGAAGGGCCCCUUUAAAGGGGCGUUCAGACCAAACGCGACGCGACCUGGUCGCGUCGCUUUGGUCGGUCACGUCGUGUCGCGGGGUGCUCUGGUGUGUUCACACCGGGUCCAAAGCUGCAGUCGCAGGUCGCGGCUGGUCGCCGGUGACGUCAUCCAUGAGAACGUCACUAGCUCAGUUUUCAGUUCAUCGUCCUCGGUGCUGCCGCAUAUCUGUACAUCCGCAGUAGACGCCGCCGGCGUUUAUGGGUGCAUGAAACCAUCCGGAGAAGGACGGAGCUAGGUGAAUUUCACCGCUUGCUCCAGGAACUCCGCCUGGACGACGGCCGCUUCCAGCGGUAUUUCCGUGUGUCGACGGCGCAGUUCGAGGACCUCCUCGCCCGGGUGGGAAGCAGCAUCUCCCGCCUGGACACGAAAUACAGGCGCUCCAUCUCAGCUUCGGAACGCCUGUCUAUCUGUCUGUCCCUCAUAUAAACGUCCCUAAGCCCCUUCCACCGCUUGCGGCACACAUCCACUGCAAAGACACACACACAUAUGUUGAAACAUGUAGCCUAGCAAGCAGGGGCAGUUAGCUAUGUUUUCAUAAAACAGUCCGCUCACUGAAAUAAAUAAAUAAACCAACAAGCUUACCAAAAAGCCCGACAUCACGGGCCACCUUCCCCCAUGCUUCUUCUUUGGCGUUGUGGUCCCGGUACAGCCCGCAACCCACGUUGUAUAGCACCGGGUGGUAGCUAACGGAUGUGAUUAACUGCUCCUCCAUUGUGAUUCUUCUUCUCCUCUUCCUUGUUUCGCCGGUUUGUUGACGUCAGCAGAGCCCUGAUUGGCUGUCGCGGCACGGGGUCGCGGAAAGUCGCUCCCAAAGUUCAAAUAUUUGAACUUUGGGAGCGACGCGACUUGGCAUCCUGCGACCUCGGCGACGCGACUUGGCGACCUGGUCACCAAGUCGCUUCAGGUCGCGUCACAGGCAGCCGGCGGUCGCCAAGUCGUGUCAGGUCGCAGCUGUCCAUAGACUUUGCAUUGGGAGCCGUCGCCGAGGUCGCGUUCAGACAGACCAAACGCGACGCGUUGGUCGGUGACGUCGCGUCGCGUGGUACUCUGGUGUGUUCAAAGCAGGUCCAAAGCUGCAGUCGGAGGUCGCGGCUGGUCGCCGGUGACGUCAUCCAUGAGAACGUCACUAGCUCAGUUUUCAGUUCAUCUGUGCUGCCGCAUAUCUGUACAUCCGCAGUAGACGCCGCCGGCGUUUAUGGGUGCAUGAAACCAUCCGGAGGAGGACGGAGCUGGGUGAAUUUCACCGCUUGCUCCAGGAACUCCGCCUGGACGACGGGCGCUUCCAGCGGUAUUUCUGUGUGUCGACGGCGCAGUUCGAGGACCUCCUCGCCCGGGUGGGAAGCAGCACCUUCCGCCAGGACACGAAAUACAGGCGCUCCAUCUCAGCUUCGGAGCGCCUGUCUAUCUGUCUGUCCCUCAUAUAAACGUCCCUAAGCCCCUUCCACCGCUUGCGGCACACAUCCACUGCAAAGACACACACACAUACGUUGAAACAUGUAGCCUAGGCAAGCAGGGGCAGUUAGCUAUGUUUUCAUAAAACAGUCCGCUCACAGAAAUAAAUACACAAACAAACUUACCAGAAAGCCCGACGUCAUGGGCCACCUUCGCCAAUGCCUCCUCCAUGGAGGUGCGGUCCCGGUAAAAUGCGCACCCCACGUCGUACAGGACCGGGUGAUAACUCACGGCAGUGAUUAACUGCUCCUCCAUUGUGAUUCUUCUUCUCCUCUUCCUUGUUUCGCCGGUUUGUUGAUGUCAGCAGAGCCCUGAUUGGCUGUCGCGGCACGGAGUCGCGGAUAGUCGCUCCCAAAGUUCAAAUAUUUGAACUUUGGGAGUGACGCGACUUGGCGUCCUGCGACCUCGGCGACGCGACUUGGCGACCUGUUCGGCAAGUCGCUUCAGGUUGCGUCACAGGCAGCCGGCGGUCGCCAAGUCGCGUCAGGUCACGGCUUUCCAUAGACUUUGCAUUGGGAGCCGUCGCUGAAGUCGCGUUUGGUCUGAACACCCCUUAAUACUGUUUAUCCUCCCAAAUUUUUAAGAUGGUUUGCCAGUAGAGGUGUCAAUCAUGCCAAUCCUGUUUGCAGCAUCAAAGUUAAGGUUGCGGGUGCUGCCCGCACAAAAAAAAAAAACAAUUAGGCUACUGGACACAGGUCCUAAACGUAUACCCUUUUAACAGCAUCAAAUAACCAAAUACCACUAUACUGUUCAGAAAAAUAAACAACAGCAAAAAGUUGUUAUAAUGAAGAAUAACCAUAAUAAGAUGAAUCAUGUUUGAGAAAAAUUACGACACAUAUUUUAGGAUUGAAGUUAAAUCCAUGUCUCAUCUGUUAGCUUUCUGACAUAUAUGACAGCCAACCCAUGGGAAUAUAAAGGCAAUAUAUCAGUCAUUAGUUGUAUUUUGUUUAUAUUUUAAACCACUGCAACAGUUCAAAAUAGAAUUGGGAGGAGUUAGUAGGUAUAAAAUUUUGCUAACUGAUAACACGUCACAUCAAAAUAAUCUGCAAUAAGAAGCCUUGCACAGCUCAUCCUCGCUUGUUGACACUGUAGCAAAAACAUUACCUCCUCUCUGUUUAUGAGCAUGUGACAUAUAAAAGACUACUACUAACCCUUUGGGAGCUACUGAGCCCAAACUAUCUCUGAUAUGGAGUUAUAGAGUGAGACUUUGUCCUGCACUCCAGGGAAUGGCAGCAAACCUGAUGAAUGCAUUUCUGUGUUGCCAAAUGCUACAAAGCAUUUAAAAUAGCAAUGGUGUUUGAUGUUGUCACAGUUGCAUCAUUUAUGUUAAAGCUCUGCAUUUAUAAAAUAGACUAAAAUUAACAUUGCUGUAUUUUUUUUUUUUCAGUUUUUUUUUUUCCUUUUUUAAUGGACAGGACAGAGAGGAAACGCGGGAGAUAAAGAAAGGGGAUGACAUGCAGCACUUGGUUGGACUUGAGCCAGUAACCACUACGGGAACCAUGGUCCCCAAACGUAGGACAUACUAACCCACUAGGCGAUCUGCACGUCCCAUUGGUGUCUUUCUAUAUGAAAUCUAAAAGGCAACAUCAGCAACAAUAUUGAUGAUUUUUAUAUUGUACUUUUUAAUAAACUAAUGUCAGGGGGAAGGUGUCAGCCAAGCAACUGAGGACACAACACAGUUGUAUGAAAUAUUCAAAAUAGAUUAUACAUGUGAUGAUCAAAAGUCAGGAAGAUGAUAUUUUUUUGUCAGAAGAUGCUACUUAAAAGUGAAUGGCCUGUAAAUCCUUCUUUAUUUGAUGGAAUGCAGCUGAGAUUUGUUUAGGACACACGUGAUGGGGUACCAGACAGGCACAAAAAUCAGCUCCAAGUUUCAAUUAACUGCGCCCACGUGGCACUAUAAAAUGUCCAAAAAAAUAGCAUACUGUGACAAUGUGAUAGAUAUGCACAGCCACAUGAAAUUUGGUACACAGAUCAGGAGGGGUGUCCUCUUCAGGGCUCCAAUGUCAAAAUGGAGAUCCAACGGAAAAUGGCUCCACAGUGCCCCCUACAAGAUUUCAAAAAUUCAGCCCGCCACUGUGACCCACAGCCAUGGAACCGGGGCUGCUUAUAAAGAACCCCAAGAUGAACAAAAAGCCUCUUGCACCCAUAGGCCACGCCCAACCGGAAGUUGGCCAUAUUGGUUUGAAAAUAUGCGGUUUGAAGUUUUCUCCCACUUACAAAGCUCUUUUCAAAAAGUAUACCCUCUUAGGGAUUUAUAAAUAGAAAGCCAAAACUGCAGCCAGAGGUACCCACAAUAGUGUAAGACUGAUAUAGAACUUUUUGCGAUGAGGCUUAGUCUGGGAACAGCUUCCCCUUAAAGACAAGUAGGGCUUUUUGCAAGCGAGUUUCAACAACACAUCAAUAUGAAUUUCAGGCCAUUUCAUAAAUCCCCUAAUAGGAGCUUUAAACAGGAAGGAGAUGAGUUGAACAAAGACCGCUUUGUCCAUUGGGAGUGCCAAAAUUGUUACAAAGUAAAAAGUUUGUCAUAGGAGCUUAAAGAUGUUCCUGCAAAGUCCCAAGAAAAAUUAGCACUCAGUGAGGACUGAAAUUUCAUUACCAAUAUUCCAGCAGAUGUCUCAUUCACUCUGUUUAAAGAUGCCUUCAAUGAAAAUGGUACAUUUAAGUAGAAUUAUGAGAAAUAAACAGACUUAUGCUUGAACAGUGAAUUGAAAUGUUUAUUUCAUUAGUAAUAGAAUAGAAUAGAAUAGAAUAUUCCUUUAUUGAUCCCCCAUGGGGGAAAUUUUUUUGUCACAGCAGCAUCACAGACAAGACAGAAAGUGCAAAAUGCAGUUAUAACAAUAAGGGUCCUAAUAUUAAGAACUUAAUAAAUGUAAUAAUUAAGAGAAAAAAAAAAUUGAAAAAGAGAAAAGGGAGAAGAAAAAAUAAAGCUUUCUGCAAUAUACACAAUUUAAAUGCCAUAAAAAAAGUGGUGGUGUAAAUCCAGUUUUGUUACUGUUCAUUGUAAAGUCUUAUUGCAGAGGGGAGGAAUGAUCUGCGGUAGCGCUCCGUCCUGCAGGGUGGGAGUCUCAGUCUGCUGCUGAAGGAGCUGCCUAAAGCCCCCACAGUCUGGUGCAGUGGGUGAGAGGGAUUGUCCAUGAUGGAUAUAAGCUUUGUUAACAUCCUCCUCUCACCCACCUCCUCCAGGGAGUUCAAAGAACAGUCUAGGACAGAACUGGCCCUCCUGACCAGUCUGUUCAGUCUCUCCCUGUCCCUCUUGGUGCUCCCUGCCCCCCAGCAGACCACUGCAUAGAAAAGUGCAGAUGCUACCACAGAGUCAUAGAAAGUCCUGAGCAGAGUCCUGCACACUCCAAAGGACCUCAGUCUCCUCAGCAGGUGGAGACGACUUUGGCCCUUCUUGUACAGAACGUCUGUGUUUGUUGACCAGUCCAGUUUGUUGUUGAGGUGGACACCCAGGAAUCUGUAGGACUCCACCAUCUCGAUGUCCAGACCCUGUAUGUUCACUGGAACUGUUUGAGGUGUCCCCCUCCUGCGGAAAUCCACAACCAUAAUUCAGACUAUAUGACAGCCUCUCAUUGGAUUCUUGCUCACCAUGUUGGGAUGACCACCUACUCUCAUAUAACCUUUACCUGUUCUUAUUUUCUCUACAGUAACACCAAUCUACACACUCCCAGGUGCUCAAAGUAAAGACCACCCAGUGUGUGUGUGACAGAAGUUUUGUGUAAAACAAAAAGCAAGAUAUAAAGGUCUGUACCAUUAAGUGUAUCCAUAGAAAUCCAUUUAUGCAAGACUGUGUGCAGAGUGUGUAGAGUUUCCAUUUGCAUAACUUAUUUAUAACAGCAUAGUGUUACAGGCAGCCUGAACACAGACAUUUUCACAGCAGAAUCCCUCUCCCUGACCCACUUCUGUCUAAAACAAAUUGCUACUAAGACCUAGUCUACAUCUAACCCUUCGCAAUAGUUGCCUAUGAACUGUGAGAGCAACGGCCAGUGUAUAUUACUUUACUUUGCAUCUUCUCAAGUGAACUUAACAAUAUGGAGACCUAUAAAUGGAUCAACACUCCCUUGGUCUGAGUGCAGACCAACCAAAGAAAAUAAGGAGUGGGUGGUGUUGUAACUCUUCAGUUUCAGGUCUAUUAGAGAGCUGUGUUUAUUUAUAAUGCCAGCUCUGUUUCCUUGUUACUGCCUCAGUCUUCAGAUCCAGGCCAAAAGUUUGUGUAAGCCAAAAAGGAUCAAUAUUAUAUCAAAGAAGUCUUGUUGGUAGAGUAACAAUCCUACAGAUCAAAAUCCUGAGCAGAACCUGCAUGUAUUUGUCAUUCUAUCCUUAGGCUUUAUAAAAUAAAAACCUAGUCUCUAUUAUGUCAUAAAUUAGUUUCUGAAGUGGAGUUUUAAAGCAUUUCGACAGCAGUGGCCACACUGAAAACACCCACUAAACCUAAUGCCAAACUUGUACUUGUUAUUUUGGUGGAAGCAAAACUAAUACUCUGAAUCAUUUGAAAGACAAAUAUGGUACUUUUGUGUGGUGAGACGCCUCCUCCUUUUGUUUUAUUUUGGCUGGACUUCCUGUGUUUCCGUGUUUGCCUGGUCUGGCUUUACUUUCUUCCAGAGCUUCCUCCCCUCCCCUGGUUGCUGAGGCUGAGUGAGACUACACACCUGCUCUUCAUCUACAAUCAAGGCACUUUAAGAAGCCAGCAGCCCUCAGUCUCAGCACCUGAGUAUUGUCUUCACUUCCAAGUGGUAUAGACGUGUCUCCUGGCCUCCUUCCUUUGAAAUUAGUAUUCGUAAUUCUGCUCCAGAUUCAUUGUAUGUUCACUCACUUCCCUCUCCUCUUUUUUUCCUGCAGUGUCUCCAGCCCACACGACAGUCAGCCAACGAGCCUACCGGACUUCCUCUUUCUUGCCUUUAAACCUGAGUUUGGACAUUAAAAUUACACCUAAAGUUGAUCUCUGUCUCUGUGUCUCUGUGUCUGCUUCUGGGUCCUCACAACUCACCAGUCACGCCACAGAAUACUCAGGCCAGGAUAAUGGACCCAGCAAACCCGGAUAGGUUUCAGCAAGCUGUCCAGAAGUGGGUGGGGGGAACUAGAAUUAAAGGGGAUAUUCACUCGUGGUCUG
rnacentral:lncRNA from 1 species